rnacentral:tmRNA from 1 species
GGGGGCGAAACGGUCUCGACGGGGCUGUGAUCCCCGCAGGAAGCGGGUCGAGGUCUCCACCUCCUCGUAAAAAAGGUGGAAACGCAAAAAAGUGCCAACUACGACUACGCACUCGCUGCCUAAUUGAACAGGUAGCCGUUCCUUCUUCCCUUGACCCGGGGGAAGAAAGGAACGUCAGAGAGCGGGUCUAUGCUGCGGAUGUUGCCCCGACAUUCGUAGCGAGAGUUUAGGGGCUUUGGAAAGGGAACCCUGCCCGUGGGGAGCCUUUUUCCGAGAUUCAAACGCGGGCUACACCCGUAGAAGCCUGUGGGGGUCCAGUUUCGGACCCUGGUUCAACUCCCGGCGCCUCCACCA